rnacentral:rRNA from 1 species
CUUCGUGAACAUAGCGAACUGCUCAGUAACACGUGGAUAACCUACCCUUAGGACCGGAAUAACCCCGGGAAACUGGGGAUAAUACCGGAUAAGCCAUAGACGCUGGAAUGCCCUAUGGUUCAAAGCUCCGGCGCCUAAGGAUGGAUCUGCGGUCUAUCAGGUUGUAGUGGGUGUAACGUACCUACUAGCCGACGACGGAUACGGGUUGUGAGAGCAAGAGCCCGGAGAUGGAUUCUGAGACACGAAUCCAGGCCCUACGGGGUGCAGCAGGCGCGAACACCUUACGAUGCGGGAAACCGCGAUAAGGGAACCCCGAGUGCCAGCAUCAAAUGUUGGCUGUCCGGAUGAAUAAAAAUCAUUUGUUAGCAAGGGCCGGGCAAGACCGGUGCCAGCCGCCGCGGUAACACCGGCGGCCCGAGUGGUAGCCGUUUUUAUUGGGUCUAAAGGGUCCGUAGCCGGCUUGAUAAGUCCUUUGGGAAAUCUGGCAGCUUAACUGUCUGGCUUCUAAGGGAUACUGUCAGGCUUGGGACCGGAAGAGGUAAGGGGUACUCCAGGGGUAGGAGUGAAAUCUUGUAAUCCCUGGGGGACCAUCUGUGGCGAAGGCGCCUUACCAGAACGGGUCCGACGGUGGGGGACGAAAGCUAGGGGAGCAAACCGGAUUAGAUACCCGGGUAGUCCUAGCUGUAAACGAUGCUCGCUAGGUGUCAGACACGGUGCGACCGUGUUUGGUGCCGCAGGGAAGCCGUUAAGCGAGCCACCUGGGAAGUACGGUCGCAAGGCUGAAACUUAAAGGAAUUGGCGGGGGAGCACUACAACGGGUGGAGCCUGCGGUUUAAUUGGAUUCAACGCCGGAAAACUCACCGGGUGCGACAGCAAUAUGUAGGUCAGGCUGAAGGUCUUACCUGAAUCGCUGAGAGGAGGUGCAUGGCCGUCGUCAGUUCGUACUGUGAAGCAUCCUGUUAAGUCAGGCAACGAGCGAGACCGCGCCCACAGUUGCCAG